GAUGAACGCUGGCGGCGCGCCUAACACAUGCAAGUCGAACGGUUAAAGCACCUUUUAGGUGUGUAUAAAGUGGCGAACGGCUGAGUAACACGUGGGCAACCUGCCCUCCUCUUGGGGAUAGCCUCGGGAAACCGAGGAUAAUACCCGAUACUUCAAUGUGGCCGCAUGACGACAUUGAGAAAGCUUUUGCGGAGAAGGAUGGGCCCGCGGCCUGUUAGCUUGUUGGUGGGGUAGAGGCCUACCAAGGCAAUGAUGGGUAGCUGGGUUGAGAGACCGACCAGCCAGAUUGGGACUGAGACACGGCCCAGACUCCUACGGGAGGCAGCAGUGGGGAAUCUUGCACAAUGGGCGAAAGCCUGAUGCAGCGACGCCGCGUGCGGGACGAAGGCCUUCGGGUUGUAAACCGCGUUCAGCAGGGACGAGGCGAUAAGUGACGGUACCUGCAGAAGAAGCCCCGGCUAACUACGUG
rnacentral:rRNA from 1 species